UCAGGCUGGAUUUCCCAUGAUCCUUCACUCCUCGUCUCCCUGACCUCUGUAUGCAGUGAGAUCUAGAGAGAAAAUGGUCCCUCCAGUGCAGGUUUCUCCUCUUAUUAAGACAGCUCGCUAUUCUGCACUGUUAGUGGGGAUUAUCUAUGGAAAGAAGCGCUAUGAUUACCUGAAGCCCGUUGCGGCGGAGGAGAGACGGAUCGAGGAGGAGGAGAAGAAAGUGAGAGAGGAACAGGAACGCAUCGCUAAGCAGCUGGCUGAGGCAAAUGAAGACACCAUCCUGAAGUGAGUGCUCUAGGAUUUCUGAUCUGCUAUGGACCCGUUCUGGAGGUCUCACUGUUCCUCAUUCGCCUUCUCCUCAUGUGCCGUACAUACCUGCUGUUUUCACCUCUAUAAUGUUUAACAUAUAUCAAUAAAAACAAAUCUUUCCUAAACAAA